AACGAACGCUGGCGGCAGGCCUAACACAUGCAAGUCGAACGAGAAGCCACCUUCGGGUGGUGGACAGUGGCAGACGGGUGAGUAACGCGUGGGAACGUGCCUUUCGGUUCGGGAUAACCCAGGGAAACUUGGGCUAAUACCGGAUACGCCCUUCGGGGGAAAGAUUCAUUGCCAAAGAUCGGCCCGCGUCGGAUUAGCUAGUUGGUAGGGUAAUGGCCUACCAAGGCGACGAUCCGUAGCUGGUCUGAGAGGAUGACCAGCCACACUGGGACUGAGACACGGCCCAGACUCCUACGGGAGGCAGCAGUGGGGAAUAUUGGACAAUGGGCGCAAGCCUGAUCCAGCCAUGCCGCGUGGGUGAAGAAGGCCUUAGGGUUGUAAACCCCUUUUAGCGGGGAAGAUAAUGACGGUACCCGCAGAAGAAGUCCCGGCUAACUCCGUGCCAGCCGCCGCGGUAAUAC
rnacentral:rRNA from 1 species